GCCUCGUUGGCGUAGUGGUAGCGCGUUCCACUUGUAUAUUAUGAAGACUAUAUAUCCAUGCAAUGGAAAGGUCACUCGUUCAAUCCGGGUACGAGGCA